rnacentral:Y_RNA from 1 species
GGCUGGUCCAAUGGUAGUGGGUUAUCAGAACUUAUUAACAUUAGUGUCACUAAAGUUGGUAUUCAACCCCCCACUGCUAAAUUUGACUGGCUUUAA